rnacentral:rRNA from 1 species
GACGGAGGAUGCAAGUGUUAUCCGGAGUCACUGGGCGUAAAGCGUCUGUAGGCGGUUUACUAAGUCAACUGUUAAAUCUUGAGGCUCAACCUCAAAAUCGCAGUCGAAACUAUUAGGCUAGAGUAUAGUAGGGGUAAAGGGAAUUUCCAGUGGAGCGGUGAAAUGCGUAGAGAUUGGAAAGAACACCGAUGGCGAAGGCAAUUUACUGGGCUAUUACUAACACUCAGAGACGAAAGCUAGGGUAGCAAAUGGG